AGAGUUUGAUCCUGGCUCAGAGUGAACGCUGGCGGCGUGCUUAACACAUGCAAGUCGAACGAGAACGGAUUAUAGCUUGCUAUAAUUGUCAGCUAAGUGGCGCACGGGUGAGUAAUGUAUAGGUAAUAUGCCUCUUACUAAGGGAUAACAAUUGGAAACGAUUGCUAAUACCUUAUACUCCUUAUUAACCUAAGUUAAUAAGGGAAAGAUUUAUUGGUAAGAGAUUAGCCUGUAUUGUAUCAGUUAGUUGGUGGGGUAAUGGCCUACCAAGACUAUGACACAUAACUGGUUUGAGAGGAUGAUCAGUCACACUGGAACUGAGACACGGUCCAGACUCCUACGGGAGGCAGCAGUGGGGAAUAUUGCACAAUGGACGAAAGUCUGAUGCAGCAACGCCGCGUGGAGGAUGACACAUUUCGGUGCGUAAACUCCUUUUAUAUGAGAAGAUAAUGACGGUAUUAUAUGAAUAAGCACCGGCUAACUCCGUGCCAGCAGCCGCGGUAAUACGGGGGGUGCAAGCGUUACUCGGAAUCACUGGGCGUAAAGAGCAUGUAGGCGGAUUGAUAAGUUUGAAGUGAAAUCCUAUAGCUUAACUAUAGAACUGCUUUGAAAACUGUUAAUCUAGAAUGUGGGAGAGGUAGAUGGAAUUUCUGGUGUAGGGGUAAAAUCCGUAGAGAUCAGAAGGAAUACCGAUUGCGAAGGCGAUCUACUGGAACAUUAUUGACGCUGAGAUGCGAAAGCGUGGGGAGCAAACAGGAUUAGAUACCCUGGUAGUCCACGCCCUAAACGAUGUACACUAGUUGUUGUGAGACUUGAUCUUGCAGUAAUGCAGUUAACACAUUAAGUGUACCGCCUGGGGAGUACGGUCGCAAGAUUAAAACUCAAAGGAAUAGACGGGGACCCGCACAAGCGGUGGAGCAUGUGGUUUAAUUCGACGAUACACGAAGAACCUUACCUGGACUUGACAUAGUAAGAACU
rnacentral:rRNA from 1 species